UACGAAGGGGGCUAGCGUUACUCGGAUUGACUGGGCGUAAAGGGCGCGUAGGCGGUUUGUACAGUCAGACGUGAAAUUCCUGGGCUCAACCUGGGGGCUGCGUUUGAUACGUGCAGACUUGAGUUCGGAAGAGGGUCGUGGAAUUCCCAGUGUAGAGGUGAAAUUCGUAGAUAUUGGGAAGAACACCGGUGGCGAAGGCGGCGACCUGGUCCUUUUACUGACGCUGAGGCGCGAAAGCGUGGGGAGCAAACAGG
rnacentral:rRNA from 1 species